UGCUCCAAGGCCUCCUGGUAAAGUUCUGCACUGACUUUGGACUAGAGAAAUUACAGUGGAACAACAUUAACAGAGAACAUGGCUCCUGGAACCCUCACUUAGCACCCUGGACUUUAGCAACAGUCCACUCAUUUUUUCUGCUUAGUCCAGCAGAUCCAGGGAUCAGGACCUGAUGGCUGAGAAUGAAGGAGACAGAGUUCUCAACUGUUUCUCCCAGACUCUGGACCUCUACACACCUGAACUCAAGCUCCAUGGACUCUGUGAUCGCUACUACAUACUUGUCUUUUAAAAUGUGGUUUUACAUCAUUUCUGUGUGUUUUGUAUUUGUUUUUAAGCAUCUUACUCGCUCAAUAGCGAAGCACUGUGAUUUUAAUUUUAAAAGGUGAUAUAAGAAAAAAUGUCAAUAGAUUUGCUUUGUCCCUUACUUUGGCCUCUUAUCUUUGACCUCUUUGUCUCUUUAGUAGCUGUUUUGGCUUGUUCAAUUUAAUGUUGGAACCAGAUGCAACUUUUAAUGCCAUACAUUUAAUAAAGUAAUCUGCAACAAGUGGAA